rnacentral:rRNA from 1 species
CCCUUAGAUGUUCUGGGCUGCACGCGCGCUACACUGAAGCUAUCAACACGUUUUCCCUCCCUGAGAAGGGCGGGUAACCUUUUGAAUCAGCUUCGUGGUAGGGAUCGGGGCUUGCAAUUGUUCCCCGUGAACCAGGAAUUCCUAGUAGACGCGAGUCAUAAACUCGCAUCGAUUAAGUCCCUGCCCUUUGUACACACCGCCCGUCGCUACUACCGAUUGAACGUUUUAGUGAGGCAUUUGGACCGACGCAUCUCAGUUUAACCGCUGGUUUGUGUUGGAAAGACUUCCAAACUUGAGCGUUUAGAGGAAGUAAAAGUCGUAACA